UAGGAUGGAAGACCAGAGGAAUCAUGGUGGAAUAUCACAGCCUUCUGAGGCUCUCGUUUCCAGAGCUAUCACUCUUUUCUAGGAACAGGAAGAGUUGGAAAACACUGAGGUGCUUCAUGGACAGCUGGAAGACAUCCCUCCCAGCAUGGCUAACAGAGCUGCUCUGCAAGGCAGCUGACACCAGUGUGGAAAAGUUGCAGAAAGAGAUAAUUUAAAACACAAGGGAAGUUCCAGUGCAUGAGUGUGAGGCAGAAUCACCAG